GAUGGGGCUGUGGCUCAGGGGCAGAGCAUCUGCUUUGUAUUCAGAAGGUCACAGGAUCAAUCCCUUUGAUUUGGGGACUUCCAUUG